rnacentral:lncRNA from 1 species
CCUUCUUUUCUUCUUUUCCUUUUCACGUCGUCCCAAGGUCAUCGAUGACCUCUUUUAUUCGCGUAGGGUUGUUAUUUGCCGAGCUCCUUUUUGACUUUUACGCUGUUUGAAAAUACCCAGUUGUUAUUCCAUUAACGGCUGCAGGUUCGCUAGGGGCCAUUUGGGCCCGGGGUCCUUCCUGGGGCUUGAAUUCGGGGAUCCGAGCUCCCGUUGCCCUCGUGCGCUGUUUGCUUUCCGAUCAUCGCUGUUGCGAUCCAUUGCCUUUCUUUUUUGCUUGGAGUUUUUCUCCGCUGAAGUCGAGGCUAGGUUCGGCUCCCGUGGGAGCCCGAACGGAGAAUCCCUCUUGAAGUUGGAGUUGUGGGCGAAGCCCGGCUCUCGUAAGAGUCAGGGUGAAGUCUUCCUGCAAUCAAGGUUAAAGGCGAAGUCCGGAUCCCGUAGGAGUCUGGACAAGGCCUAUCGGCAGUUGCUGUUGUCAGCGGAGCCCGGCUCCCGUAGGAGUCCGGGCGGGGUUGUCCUGUAGCUGAUGUCGGCGAUGGAGCCCGACUUCCGUAGGAGUCCGAGUGAAGUUUUCCUGGG